AGUGAACGCUGGCGGUAGGCCUAACACAUGCAAGUCGACCGGCAGCACAGUAAGAGCUUGCUCUUACGGGUGGCGAGUGGCGGACGGGUGAGGAAUACAUCGGAAUCUACUUUUUCGUGGGGGAUAACGUAGGGAAACUUACGCUAAUACCGCAUACGACCUACGGGUGAAAGCAUGGGAUCUUCGGACCUUGCGCGAUUGAAUGAGCCGAUGUCGGAUUAGCUAGUUGGCGGGGUAAAGGCCCACCAAGGCGACGAUCCGUAGCUGGUCUGAGAGGAUGAUCAGCCACACUGGAACUGAGACACGGUCCAGACUCCUACGGGAGGCAGCAGUGGGGAAUAUUGGACAAUGGGCGCAAGCCUGAUCCAGCCAUACCGCGUGGGUGAAGAAGGCCUUCGGGUUGUAAAGCCCUUUUGUUGGGAAAGAAAAGCAGCAGGUUAAUACCCCGCUGUUCUGACGGUACCCAAAGAAUAAGCACCGGCUAACUUCGUG
rnacentral:rRNA from 1 species